GAUGAAGAACGUAGCGGAAUGCGAUAAGUAGUGUGAAUUGCAGAAUUCAGUGAAUCAUCGAAUCUUUGAACGCACAUUGCGCCCCUUGGUAUCCCGAGGGGCAUGCCUGUUCGAGCGUCAUUUCACCACUCAAGCCUGGCUUGGUGUUGGGCGACGUCCUCUUUGGGGACGCGCCUCGAAACGCUCGGCGGCGUGGCACCGGCUUUAAGCGUAGCAGAAUCUUUCGCUUUGGAAGUCGGGGCCCCGUCUGCCGGAAGACCUGCUCGCAAGGUUGACCUCGGAUCAGGCAGGGAUACCCGCUGAACUUAAGCAUAUCAAUAAGCGGAGGA
rnacentral:misc_RNA from 1 species